AGAGAAUACCACGUGCAAGACUUUUUACCAGACCAUGCUCCAAUCCAUAUAGCUCUAUUAUCAGGACAAGGCGGCCUUCGUAUGAUUCACAAAACAUAGUGUCUCUUGUCACUGUACCUGAAAAAGUCUCCUGGCAGUGAGUGUUUCAGCUAAAACAUAUUCUAUUAGACACCUACAAAAGAAACCCAAAAAAAGAUGACCCCAUUCAUGGUAAAAUGUGGAGGAAAAGUAAUGGUAGAUCAUCUCACCACUGUUUGGUGUUUUUUUUUUGGAUGUAAAAGCAUUUCUAUACUUUAGUCCUCAUGCUGUUAUCACAAGAAAGCUAUAGUUUUCUGAAUCAGUUAACAUACUUUUAAGCAAAUCAAAACUGAUUCACUAACAUAGUGGUGGUAACUCUCAUGGUUGAACACAGGAAACUAAGAUUUGAAAGAGUGACAAAAGACCUGAAGGUCACAAGAGUCAUAUCGACAUUGGUGGAGGAGAUGAAGGCCAUUCGCAUUGGAACCCAUGAUGAAUCCCACUGCACUGAUGUGAUGGUUCCGGCAGCCGUUGCUGAUCGGAGCCCUGUUCUUCUUCUGAUGGGUGGUGGGAUGGGAGCUGGCAAGAGCACUGUGCUCAAGGAAAUACUGAAGGAGUAAGUUCUUUAAUUCUUUUAACAUCACACUAAAUUAAAACAGACCCAAAAUGUAAUAAGGGAAUGAUAAAGAACAGAGAUUAAAAAGUACAAAAACCAUCACCAAGUAAACCAACUUUAAAGAAGCUUUCAUUUGAUGUUCAGAUUAUAUACAGUAUGCCUGGCACAAAGUAGCAGUCAUACCAUGUGCAUCUUAAAACCAGGGGUACAUAUAUAAAGUAGUAAUAAUUACUAGUUUCUUGUCAUUGAAGCAGUUCAUCCUAGCAUAUUCAUUCUAACAGUAUAAUGAACUAAAACUUGGCGAAAUACCAACUCCAUGACUGUAAUUUCAAUAAAGUGGUAUUAAAAAAUAAAUGAAAAAAGACAUCGGUUAGUUAGAGACCAGAAGCAAAAUGACACUUGGUGGAAAAAAAAAAGGUAAAAUAAAUUAUAAAUUAAAAAAAAUAAAUCACUGCCUGGACAGGCAUCUCCAUUGUUGGGUAGCACUAUUAGACAUAUACCAGUAUAUCAGAAUAGUUGAUUAUUAAGGUAUGGUCUGAGUAGAAGAGUUAAAAACAGCUAAGAUGACAGGUGGGAUGCCCAAAUGUCCCAUGUCCUCCACUCAAACAACCAAGAUCAAAAGGACAGUAAUGGUUCUAGGUCACAUUCAAACUAAACAAGUUAAAAAACUUCAGAUCAACAAUGUAUCUAGUUAGAUAUAUCUGAUCCUGAUAUGACUGGAAAAUACCAUAUUUGUAUCUGCUUUUCAUCAGUUAGAUAUGCAUAGUCUUUUAUCAUGAUACGUUGUUACCCACAUAUCAGAGCCUUCUGGUCUGGCGCUGCAGCAAACACAGUGGUGGUUGAAGCUGAUGCGUUCAAAGAGACGGAUGUCAUUUAUCGAGCUAUCAGCUCCAGAGGUCAUCAUGAUGACAUGCUCCAGACUGCUGAACUGGUAUUCCUCUCUCUACUGUUCUUUGUUUAGAGAUUUUAUUCCUUAACUCUUCUGCUUUCAGUUGUUCUUCUAGAGGAAAACAUAUAUUAAAUAUACAUUAAGAUAGUUAAAGCAUCAAAAUCCCAUUUGCUUUGCUUUGAAACAUUAGAAACUGUUCCUGAAAAAGAUUAUGACAUCAGCAUCAAGAAAAAAAAAACUACAAUUGAUGUAAUAAUAUUUUUCUUAUCUACUCUAUGUCUCGGCCUGUCUGUCUGUAAUCAAUUUAUUUGGUCCCCAUAGAAAAUUCCUAUUUUAUUAGUCUAUUCUUUCGUUAUUUCUCUGUGCCCUCAUUUUCUUGAAUUCAAACCUACAGGAAAAUUUUAUGAUUGCUCUUUGUUUGCUUGAACUGCUCUAACAAGAUACUUAUUAUUGCCAGCAAACUAGAUUCCACAAUGAUUUUUUUACUUAUAUUUGCCUUAAUUAAAAAGUUGACUCAAACUUGAGAGGAUUGACUCCCAAUUAUGAAAUUAUUAGAAAAAAAUAGAUUUACUCUAGUGUCAUUUCAAAGUUGAGUGAUGCUACAUAACUAAUAUCAUAACUCUUAGAUAACAAUGAUGAUUAACAGAAUAAUGAACACUUUUGCAGAAAUAUAAACAAACAUGAUUUUUUUUUCUAACUAGUCCAGGAGCUAAAGACAAACCUUCCGCUUGGAGCUUAUACACCACAUAUCACAUACUCCAUGACUAUCAAAUCUUCCGAAAUAGGGAGGACAGACUUCUGAUUCAGCCUAGAUGUGUAAUUUCCUUCGAGUAUGGAUCUGAUUCUGAGUUCAUUCAAUCUUAGACUAGAUUCAGUUCCAUUAAUCUAUGCCUACAAUCUAGUUAAACAUGGGUUCUCUGAAAUCCAUAUCAGAUCAGAUAUCAUCAACAGAGUUUAGAGAAUAUAGAUCAAUAUCUCCAACAUCAAUCAGUAAAUAAUCUGAUGUCAUCCUUGUCCUCCUCAUGGUCUAAGCUUCCAGAAUAAACUGAGCUCACACAACAAUUACAAGCAGGUCCAUCAGUCAUCGACAGACGCAGCUUCCUCUCUACUCGUGACGGCGCUGAAUGAAGGUCGAGAUGUGAUCAUGGAUGGCACUCUCUCCUGGGAACCAUUUGUUCAGCAAACCAUAGCCAUGGCACGGAAUGUACAUCACCAGCAGUAUCGGAUGGGAGCUGGAUACAAGGUUGCUGAUGAUGGGACCAUCACAGAGAACUACUGGGAACCGGUGGAGGACAACCAAGAGAACAAUAAGUGCAGUACAAGGAAGCCUUACAGGAUAGAGAUGGUUGGAGUUGUUUGUGAUGCCUACCUAGCAGUAGUCCGAGGAAUCAGGUACGACUCUAAAAAAACCCUACUCUUGAAUCAAACCCAAACGUAACAAUUUAUGCCUUGGGAGGUUCAUGCACCUAAAUUGAAUAUAUAUAUAUAUAUAUAUAUAUAUAUAUAUAUAUAUAUAUAUAUAGGAUUUCUUGGGUCAUAAAUACUGGAUAACUAACAGAGAUGAAUAGAGACAAUCAAUGUGGACAGGAGAAGUACAUUGGCUAGUUGUUCUAACCUGAAAUUUUCGACCAUAAGGUCAGUGAGCUGAAAGUUUCCAAGCUCAACUCUAUGAUGUCAAUGACAGGAGAGCUAUAAUAAUGGGUAGAGCAGUUAGAGUAAAAUCCCAAUUGAAGUCUCACCAAAGGUUUGCUAAUG
rnacentral:lncRNA from 1 species